UACGUAGGGUGGCAAGCGUUGUCCGGAAUUAUUGGGCGUAAAGAGCUCGUAGGCGGUUUGUCGCGUCUGCUGUGAAAACCCGAGGCUCAACCUCGGGCCUGCAGUGGGUACGGGCAGACUAGAGUGCGGUAGGGGGAGAUUGGAAUUCCUGGUGUAGCGGUGGAAUGCGCAGAUAUCAGGAGGAACACCAAUGGCGAAGGCAGAUCUCUGGGCCGUAACUGACGCUGAGGAGCGAAAGCAUGGGGAGCGAACAGG
rnacentral:rRNA from 1 species